AUUGAACGCUGGCGGCAUGCCUUACACAUGCAAGUCGAACGGUAACAGGUCUUCGGAUGCUGACGAGUGGCGAACGGGUGAGUAAUACAUCGGAACGUGCCUAGUAGUGGGGGAUUACUACUCGAAAGAGUGGCUAAUACCGCAUGAGAUCUACGGAUGAAAGCAGGGGAUCGAAAGACCUUGUGCUACUAGAGCGGCCGAUGGCAGAUUAGGUAGUUGGUGGGAUAAAAGCUUACCAAGCCGACGAUCUGUAGCUGGUCUGAGAGGACGAUCAGCCACACUGGGACUGAGACACGGCCCAGACUCCUACGGGAGGCAGCAGUGGGGAAUUUUGGACAAUGGGCGCAAGCCUGAUCCAGCAAUGCCGCGUGCAGGAUGAAGGCCUUCGGGUUGUAAACUGCUUUUGUACGGAACGAAAAGCCCUGGGUUAAUACCCUGGGGUCAUGACGGUACCGUAAGAAUAAGCACCGGCUAACUACGUGCCAGCAGCCGCAGUAAAAC
rnacentral:rRNA from 1 species